AUGACUGAGUAUAAAAACUAGAACCGCAACAUAUCUUAAAAGCAUAAGUAUUGUAUCAUUGUUAGAAGAUACAAUGACGAAGACUCAUAUGGACUUCGGCUACACCAUCAAAGCUUUGAGAAGCAAGAAGCAGCUUGGUUAGUGUUUUGGAGUUGAAUAUGACUUGAUGUCAUGUGUAUGAGUGAGUAUAAAAACUAGAACCGCAACGGAUCUUAAAAGCCUAAAUAUUGUAUCCUUGUUUG
rnacentral:sRNA from 1 species